rnacentral:lncRNA from 1 species
CCCUUUACUAGAAUUUUUCAUCUGCUCUUCUUCUCUUAUCAGUCGUUCAUACCUAAUCACAUUCGCACUCAACUGGAAAAGGUCAGGAAAUUCCUUGUCUUGAAAUUUCUUUUUUAAAUCAAAGCUCAAACAGCUCUGAGCGAUUUUAACGAAUUCUUUUUCGGGCAGAGGUACAAAACACUUGCUUCUUGCUGUCUUGAACCUUUGUAGAAAACUUUCUGCCCAUUCGUUUGGCAUUUG